CAAUAGCGUAUAUUAAAGCUGUUGCGGUUAAAAAGCGCGUAGUUGGAUUUCUGUCAAGGACAACUGGUCCGCCCCUCGGGUGAGCACAUAGUUUGGUCUUGGCAUCUUGUUGGAAACUGUUGCUGCACUUGGUUGUGUGGCGCAGUGUCCAGCACUUUCACUUUGAGGAAAUUGGAGUGUUUCAAGCAGGCACAUGCCUUUGGACACAGUAGCAUGGAAUAAUUAGAUUGGGCUUUUGCUCCAACUUGUCGGUUUCUGGAGCUGAGGUGAGAAUUAAUGGGGAUUGUUGGGGGCAUCCGAAUUUAGCCGUCAGAGGUGAAAUUCUUGGAUCUGCUAAAGACGGACAACUGCGAAAGCGUUUGCCCAGGAUGUUUUCAUUGA
rnacentral:rRNA from 1 species